ACUCCUACGGGAGGCAGCAGUGGGGAAUAUUGCACAAUGGGCGCAAGCCUGAUGCAGCCAUGCCGCGUGUAUGAAGAAGGCCUUCGGGUUGUAAAGUACUUUCAGCAGUGAGGAAGGUGGUAGUGUUAAUAGCACUAUCAUUUGACGUUAGCUGCAGAAGAAGCACCGGCUAACUCCGUGCCAGCAGCCGCGGUAAUACGGAGGGUGCGAGCGUUAAUCGGAAUUACUGGGCGUAAAGCGCAUGCAGGUGGUUUGUUAAGUCAGAUGUGAAAGCCCGGGGCUCAACCUCGGAAUUGCAUUUGAAACUGGCAGACUAGAGUACUGUAGAGGGGGGUAGAAUUUUAGGUGUAGCGGUGAAAUGCGUAGAGAUCUGAAGGAAUACCGGUGGCGAAGGCGGCCCCCUGGACAGAUACUGACACUCAGAUGCGAAAGCGUGGGGAGCAAACAGGAUUAGAUACCCUGGUAGGAUAGCG
rnacentral:rRNA from 1 species